ACAGAUCACAAAGGUUCUGUAAUCUGUGGCUCCAUGGUCCUGUCCUGGAUGACAGGAAACUUAACCUUCGAAUAUUUUGGCAUUUAUUUGAACUUGUUUACGGAAAAAAAACUUAGCUAGUUUUAGCUAGUAACUUAGAUUUUAGCUAGUAAAGUUCACGUUACACUUGUGGAAUAUGGAUGUGAGUGUCUACGAUGAAAUUGUGAGCUUUAUAGGGAACUUUAAAGGUUUGUCGAAAAACUGUUCCAAAAAACUGGAAGAACUGUUUCCCAGCAUAAACAGCGAUACAUUAUACAGUAUUUUGUGCAAUGAGUAUCAAAGGAAAAUGCGUCGCAUCUAUGGCAAGACCCAAAACAACCGCGACUACUUUUGGAAGUUGUUCUGGGAGAAGAUCGAUCGCGAAAAGCCGGGAAUGUUGGUGAAGAUCGCUGAAGAGCAUGAAAUCCCUCCAUGUUUGAUUGCCAAGCUGAUUUUGCAAAAGUACUACGAGGGCGAGGCGGAUGAGGAGAACCUUGACAAAGAACCAGCUACCAAGCUGUACCUUUACCUAAAGAAUACUAGCCUGAUUUCGGAUGGCCAAUUGGCCCAAGAAAUUUUCUUGUGUACAGUUUACGAUAGUUUGUACAGCCCAUUGGCCGACAUUAUGAAAAAGUCUCUUGGGCAGCAAUACGAGAUCCGUCUGCAGAAAGAGGCCACCCAGAGGGGUUUAGUCUUCCGCGAUGAAGAAUCGCUUAGGAAAUAUGGCUACGACAAAACUCCCGACUUAAAGCUGGAAGCCCCUGUCGCAGUCGAUGGGUUUAUCGUCAAUUGGGUUGAGAGCAAAGCACUGUUUGCCGAUGAAGACAUCCAUAAGGAUUAUAUGAAAAGUCAGUACCUGAGCUAUUGGAAUAGGUUUGGUUCCGGACUGAUUAUCUACUGGUUUGGAUACUUAAAAACCAUAAACGCAUCGCCGGACAAGCGGUUUAUUAUUCGGGAUCAUUUGCCGGCCAAUCUCACAACCAUUCUGCCAGCCAAUCAAUCAAUUAUUCCCGAUGAGAUGAAGGAGCUGACGACACACCAGACAGUGUAGUUUUUAAAAUUUAAAGCAAUUUUUCAACGUGAAUAGCAAAGAGUUAAUGUGCGUACUGUUUAAGUACCUGCCAUUAAAGGAGCUGUAAUUUGCGCUGCAAUAGCAAAAACAAUAGUUUUUGUACUAGCUUGAGCACUUACAAGGGUCUGUUUCCGCGUUGUUCUAUUGAAGCUCACUGAAGUCGUUCCUCCGUGCAUUAUCCAAAAAACCGAUUUUUUGCACAAUAUUGGGCAACGUGCGUUUGGCCUGCAGGCCAUUUAACUUAAAAAUUCCCCAUAAUUAAUGAAUAUUUCCGUUUAAACACUUUACGGGCUUCAAUAGGUUAAUUGCAGAUUAAAGCGAAUUAAUGUAUUUGACUUGUGAACCUCAGGAAUGCUCCUAAGAUGCACUAGAUUGGCUUCAAGUGUUCAUUGAGCGAAUUUUGCUAGGCACUAAAGAACAAUGUUGUCUUUCGCAGCAUUUGUUUGCUUUCCGCUUGUGAAUUAAGCACUCAGGAAUGUUUGAUCAAUCAUUGUUUGCCACCCGCUAUCAUCAGCAGGCCAGAUUACGUUCCAUACAAACAAGCCACCCGGUCCAAAAACAGUUCAUAUCUACUGUCUUCAAAUGACGCUGCCAUUGCGGCUGAAAAUCGUUAAAAACUUGUGUUUAAACCGUGUUUUGUAGCGUGCGAGCCGCUGGAUUUGAACGGCCCCGGUAUACGAUUAAGUGCACCUUGCGUUUACUUGUAAUUAUUUUAAUUCAGGUUUUUGCCGAGCUAACAGGAAUCGAGUCAAGGAUUAUUUAGCCGUCUUCGAACAUUGUUUUGAAUACGGAUUGUAGUCGCGGCGCGCGCGAACCAACGAGCAGUGAGUCUCAGCGCAACCCCAACUUAAUCUGGUAAUUAAUAAAUAAGGCAAAUACAACAGGGGAGAAAAGUUCGUUCGGGUGCGAAAAGAUAAGAGUGCGCGCUGAUUGGACCGAGUUAACUUUCGAAAGUUGCCCGCUGCUGAACUAUGGACAUGGACAAGAAGCCCGAAGAGUUGAAAAUCAUCCACAGCCAACAUGCCAGGAUUUUAAAAGAGGACGAGGAAUUUUGGAUUUCCAGCGAGGAUUUGAACACGGAGAACAGCAGCGACGAUGACCGUUCAAAAGCCAAGCACGCAUGCAAAAAGAAGCUCAAAUUGAAAGACCGAAAACGCUCUUCGCCCAAUAUUCGACUGCAAAGGCCAUCGAUUUCUUCCGUUGCCAGCACAUCAAAAGCUUUGGAUGAGCGCCUGCUAAUGCCGGCCACCGACGACCAAAACGCCCGAUCUACAGAUGAUUCGCGGACUUCGGACGAAGAAUACCAAAUUCCGCCGCUCAUCAAGGCGGAAUGUCUGUCGAAAAGGCUCAGCCUGGAAGACUGGAGGCCGAUGAAAGGGGCCCUCAACAUUUCGUCGCUGGAUGAAGCUAAAUCGUCUGCUGGUAGGUCCAUAGAGGUGUGACCUGCUUAAGGUGUUGAUGUUAUAUGAUUAAGCAAUUUUGGAUUAGGUCAGAAAAUAUGUAUGUUGCUUAAAGAGGGACAGUGUGGAUAAAGCUAUGAGCUUCUUUGAGGCAUCGAUAGCUAAUGUAAACAUUCGGUUGUUGCCGAGUAGGUCUGUGCAAGGUGAAACCACUACUGGUAAUCUACUUUGUGAUGAUACGAUGGCAUUAG
rnacentral:misc_RNA from 1 species